rnacentral:snoRNA from 14 species
GAUGGUGAUGAUGUGUUUUUGUGUGAGUAUGAGUAUGAUGUUCAUUGGGGUAGCUUUAAGCGUGUGGCUGAAUU